CCCGCCUUAACUCAGUUGGUAGAGUGCGCGGCUGUAGUGCGCAGCUACCGCGAUGUCCCCGGUUCAAAUCCGGGAGGCGGGA
rnacentral:tRNA from 1 species